rnacentral:rRNA from 1 species
UACGUAGGGUGCGAGCGUUGUCCGGAAUUAUUGGGCGUAAAGAGCUCGUAGGCGGUGUGUCGCGUCGGCCGUGAAAACCUGCAGCUUAACUGUGGGCUUGCGGUCGAUACGGGCAUCACUGGAGUUCGGCAGGGGAGACUGGAAUUCCUGGUGUAGCGGUGAAAUGCGCAGAUAUCAGGAGGAAUACCAGUGGCGAAGGCGGCCUUCUGGACUGACACUGACGCUGAGGCGCGAAAGCCAGGGGAGCAAACGGG